GCAGCGAAAUGCGAUACCUAGUGUGAAUUGCAGAAUUCCGCGAAUCAUCGAGUUUUUGAACGCAAGUUGCGCCCGAGGCUCGUACCGAGGGCAUGUCUGUCUGAGCGUCCA
rnacentral:rRNA from 1 species